GGGGGUGUAGCUCAGCUGGGAGAGCAACUGCUUUGCACGCAGUAGGUCAGCGGUUCAACUCCGCUCAUCUCCA
rnacentral:tRNA from 1 species